CAGCAAUGUGGAGCGGAUCUCAAAAAGAUAGUCUCAGUUCGGACUGUGGGCUGCAACCCGCCCACACGAAGUCGGAGUUGCUAGUAAUCCCGAAUCAGCAUGUCGGGGUGAAUGCGUUCCCGGGUCUUGUACACACCGCCCGUCACGCCAUGGGAGUCGGAAGUGCCCAAAGUCGGUGACCUAACCGCAAGGAAGGAGCCGCCUAAGGUAAUGCCGAUGACUGGGGUGAAGUCGUAACAAGGUAAC
rnacentral:rRNA from 1 species